rnacentral:lncRNA from 1 species
AAGCGAGAAAAGGGAGCGCCCGCCCCAGUGGGCCUCGCGGUGCCGCCCGGGCCAAAGAGCGCGCCCUCAGGGCAGCCGCGAAGCCGGGGAGCGAGCACGCACGCGCGCGCCGCCGCCGCCGGUCCCGGGUUACCUGAUAACGCUGCCGCCGCCGCCUCCCCGCGCACGGGCAGUGUGGCCAGGGGCGGCAGCCAGAGCAGCAGCCACCACCGCCCUUGGCGCGGCCCCAUUUCGUUAGGGGUCAGCUCCGUGCGACCCGAGCCCUAGGGGACCGGCUCCGCUGCGAGGAGCGGAAGUGGCGCGGGGGCUCAGAGAAGGCGGAGGGGGCGGUGAGGCCCGAACGCGGGAAAGGCGGAGACCCCGCCUCCCCGGGGCGGAGGGAGAGUUGGGCUCGUUGCUCCAGCCUCCGCCCGCGGCCUCGGGGCACGGCGGGCCCAGGCCGGAGGAGCUUUCGGUGGCGCGACCCCGCUGGCAUGCUCCCGGCCUCGGCCUCGGCCUCGGCCUUGGCCUCCGGGCCUCCAGCGCACGCGGGGCGUCCAGGGCCUCAUCUUCCCCUGGGGACCGCCCGGCCGUGUCCCGCUGCCCUCGGCGCAGGGGUGGGAGUUGCAGAGAGGAAGAGUCGCUAACCCGGAGUGUUUCUUAAAACUUGGCUGACCUGUGACCUGCGGAUUUGGAGGCUGAAUUCUCCGAGCACCUGAAGCUACUGCAGGAUAUAAUCUAAGAAAAUAAGGGGAAGAAAACAAGAAAGAGGAAGACAUUGGAUCCAAGAAAUGGGGGAUCUAUCACCUUACAGAUGAAAAGAGAAUCUACAUGAUCUUUGUGAAGGUGAUUUGAGCAUAGCAGCUCUGCAGGAAACCUGGAGAGCAACAAGUGAGAUUAAUACAGGACACACAGCUCUAGUAAGGAUGUCACUAAGGAAAUUAAAAUCAUUUGUUGUAGAAUACUUUAUGAAUCAAUGCAGUAAGAGGAGGUUUACACUUCUGGUGAAGAAUAGGGAAUGAAUUUGUGAUAGGCAUGUAGAAAAUUAUGCAAACAAAUAAAAUAAUAAUCAACUCCUGGGAAAAUAGGAAUUUGUACCAAAAGUGUCAAUAUAAUCUUAUAUAUAUAUGCCUCAGUUUUGAAUAAUAUUUGUCAUUUUAAUUAUGUAAAAACUGAAUAAUUAUCGGCCGGGCACAGUGGCUUACGCUUGUAAUCCCAGCACUUUGGGAAGCUGAGGCAGGUGGAUCACCUGAGGUUAGGAGUUCGAGACCAGCCUGACCAACAUGGAGAAACCCCGUCUCUACUAAAAAUACAAAAUUAGCUGGGCGUGGUGGCGCAUGCCUGUAAUCCCAGCUACUCUGGAGGCUGGGGCAGGAGAAUCGCUUGAACCCAGAAGGCGGAGGUUGCUGUGAGCCGAGAUUGCGCCAUUGCACUCCAACCUGAGCAACAAGAGCAAAACUCCAUCUCAAAACAAAACAAAACAAAACAACAAAAAACUCAAUAAUUAUCAGAGAAAAACACUGUAAUAUAACUAUAUUGAAAGAAUAAGAAGAGAAUGUAAGAGACUAAAUCCGUAUCUCCCACAGAAGGGAGUCAUAGAUAAUAAUAUCUGGAACUGAAAAAAAAAUCAAGAAACAGCAGUUUAAAAUGUGGAGAUAAACACCAAAAGAAACAGCUGAGGCCAGGUGUGGUGGCUCACACUGAAAGACUUGAGCAAGUUUGCUUUUGGGAAUGGAAAUGGAAUUAGAACAUGCAGGUUGUACAGGGAAAAGGGCUGCUCUUUGUCUUUUAGACUUUGAGGAGCUAUUUGGCUUUUAAAGCUCUGUGCAUUUAUAACUUAGAUGGAAAAUAUAAACAAUUUUAGAAAGAAAAAUGACAAUAUAUGUAUUUUUGAGAUAUGGAGGCAAACAUUCUAAACGCUAAAAAGAGAAAAGCUUGAGAGUGGUUUCUUUUGGGGAGCAGGACAGGAGUUGAUUUUCACUGUAAUUAUUACUAAGCCAUUGAUUUUAUAGAGUUGUGAGGCCAUUACCUUGAGACAAAUUUUAAAUAAAAAAAGGAAAGUCCAGGAAGGAAUUCAGGCAUGAGGACAUUUAAGAACUUUGAAUUUUAGCUUUGUUGCUUGUAGUUUCCCAAUUUUAAAAAUCUUUAACAUCUUCCAUACCAGGAGAUAAGCAGUAAAUGAGAGAACACAUUUGGAAGCUCUUGGUAGACUGAAAAUAACUAAGGGAGGUUCCCUUCUUUCCUCUUACAGAUAAAACUUGGUUUUCAAUAGUAUAAACUCAAUCUUUGAAAAACCCACCUCUUUUCCUAGACUCACAAGGGUGCUUCCAUGACAUCUUGGAUAUAAAAGGAAUACUUAGUGUACAUGUGAAUAAUUAAGUCAUUUUUUAAAAUGCCCUAUGUGAAAUAAGAAAUUACCUCUGUGUAAUUCAACUAGUCUUGCAAUGAGACCCUUUCUCCAACAAUAAAGUGCAAUAAAUAAUUUACUCACAUGACUUUUCUCAAGCUUUAAUGAUUUUUGAAUGAGUCCCAGAUUCCAUUUUUAUUUACAGCAGAUUCCAUUUUUAUUUAACAGUAAUUAGAAACAAUCCACUCAUUGUGGAAUGC